GCUCAGUAACACGUGGAUAACCUGCCCUGUGGAGGGAAAUAACCCCGGGAAACUGGGGAUAAUGUCCCAUAGACUACGGAUACUGGAAUGUUCUGUAGUUCAAAGAUUUAUCGCCACAGGAUGGAUCUGCGGCCGAUUAGGUAGUUGUUGGGGUAACGGCCCAACAAGCCUUUGAUCGGUACGGGUUGUGGGAGCAAGAGCCCGGAGAUGGAUUCUGAGACACGAAUCCAGGCCCUACGGGGCGCAGCAGGCGCGAAAACUUUACAAUGCGGGAAACCGUGAUAAGGGAACUCCGAGUGUCCGUAAAUGCGGACUGUCCGUAUGUCUAAAAAGCAUGCGAAGAAAGGGCCGGGCAAGACCGGUGCCAGCCGCCGCGGUAAUACCGGCGGCUCGAGUGGUGGCCACUAUUACUGGGCUUAAAGCGUUCGUAGCUUGGUUGUUAAGUCUCUUGGGAAAUCUAUCGGCUUAACCGAUAGGCGUCCAGGGGAUACUGGCAAUCUAGGGACCGGGAGAGGUGAGGGGUACUUCAGGGGUAGGAGUGAAAUCCUGUAAUCCUUGGGGGACCACCUGUGGCGAAGGCGCCUCACCAGAACGGCUCCGACAGUGAGGGACGAAAGCUGGGGGAGCAAACCGGAUUAGAUACCCGGGUAGUCCUAGCCGUAAACGAUACUCGCUAGGUGUCGGCCACGGUGCGACCGUUGUCGGUGCCGUAGGGAAGCCGUGAAGCGAGCCACCUGGGAAGUACGGCCGCAAGGCUGAAACUUAAAGGAAUUGGCGGGGGAGCAC
rnacentral:rRNA from 1 species